GCCCUUCCCCCUGCUCCGGGCUCCCGCUAGCCGUCUCGCCCGGAAAUGCGGCUACGACUUGCAGCCUAACCCAGAGGCUAACCCGGGCGUGAUUGCACCUCUGCUGCUCUGCUAUCUCGGACCACUGUCUCCAUUUGACCAGUUUCCUGAGGCUUGGAGAAGAGAUCCUCUCCAGAGAUUAUCCAGAUGACCCAUGACGAUGGGGAAGAAGAAAGAAGCCAGCCCAGGCGUUAUCUCUGCCCCUAAGCUGUUAACGUGGAGGCCUCCUUCUCAUGCCCUCUUGACUUCUAGCUAUGGGACCAAAGUGAUAUGGAUUAAAACCUCUGGAACAAUGA
rnacentral:lncRNA from 1 species